AGAUUGAACGCUGGCGGCAUGCCUAACACAUGCAAGUCGAGCGGCAGCGCGGGGGCAACCCUGGCGGCGAGCGGCGGACGGGUGAGUAAGGCAUCGGAAUCUGCCCUGAUGUGGGGGAUAACGUAGGGAAACUUACGCUAAUACCGCAUACGACCGAGAGGUGAAAGCGGGGGACCGAAAGGCCUCGCGCAGCAGGAUGAGCCGAUGUCCGAUUAGCUGGUUGGUGGGGUAAAGGCCUACCAAGGCUAUGACGGAUAGCUGGUCUGAGAGGAUGAUCAGCCACAUUGGGACUGCGACACGGCCCAAACUCCUACGGGAGGCAGC
rnacentral:rRNA from 1 species